GGGGGGGGGGGGGGGGGGGGGGGGGGCGUGGGGGUGGGGCGGGGGGGCGGGGGGUGGGGGGGGGGCGCGGGGGGCGGAGGGGUGCGGAGCGCGUGGGUGAGGUGGCGUUGGGGUUGGGAUACCUUGUGGAGCCGGGGGCUCCGCCCGGCUCGGAGCGCCUGCUGCAUGGUGGGGGUUGUAGAGUUUCGGCGGUUGGGGCGGGACUCGCGGCGUAUCAGCUUUCUGGUGGUGUAUUAGCUUACCACGGCUUUGACGGGUAGCCGGCCUGAGAGGGUGACCGGCCACAUUGGGACUGAGAUACGGCCCAGACUCCUACGGGAGGCAGCAGUGGGGAAUAUUGCACAAUGGGCGGAAGCCUGAUGCAGCAACGCCGCGUGCGGGAUGACGGCCUUCGGGUUGUAAACCGCUUUCGCCUGUGACGAAGCGUGAGUGACGGUAAUGGGUAAAGAAGCACCGGCUAACUACGUG
rnacentral:rRNA from 1 species